GACGAACGCUGGCGGCGUGCUUAACACAUGCAAGUCGAACGGAAAGGCCCUGCUUUUGUGGGGUGCUCGAGUGGCGAACGGGUGAGUAACACGUGAGUAACCUGCCCUUGACUUUGGGAUAACUUCAGGAAACUGGGGCUAAUACCGGAUAGGAGCUCCUGCUGCAUGGUGGGGGGUGGAAAGUUUCGGCGGUUGGGGAUGGACUCGCGGCUUAUCAGCUUGUUGGUGGGGUAGUGGCUUACCAAGGCUUUGACGGGUAGCCGGCCUGAGAGGGUGUCCGGCCACAUUGGGACUGAGAUACGGCCCAGACUCCUACGGGAGGCAGCAGUGGGGAAUAUUGCACAAUGGGCGGAAGCCUGAUGCAGCAACGCCGCGUGCGGGAUGACGGCCUUCGGGUUGUAAACCGCUUUCGCCUGUGACGAAGCGUGAGUGACGGUAAUGGGUAAAGAAGCACCGGCUAACUACGUG
rnacentral:rRNA from 1 species